CCUACGGGGGGCAGCAGUGGGGAAUAUUGGACAAUGGGGGGAACCCUGAUCCAGCCAUGCCGCGUGUGUGAAGAAGGCCCUCGGGUUGUAAAGCACUUCCAGUGAGGAAGAACGCCUGGUGGUUAAUACCCAUCAGGAAAGACAUCACUCACAGAAGAAGCACCGGCUAACUCCAUGCCAGCAGCCGCGGUAAUACGGAGGGUGCGAGCGUUAAUCGGAAUUACUGGGCGUAAAGCGCGCGUAGGUGGCUUGAUAAGCCGGUUGUGAAAGCCCCGGGCUCAACCUGGGAACGGCAUCCGGAACUGUCAAGCUAGAGUGCAGGAGAGGAAGGUAGAAUUCCCGGUGUAGCGGUGAAAUGCGUAGAGAUCGGGAGGAAUACCAGUGGCGAAGGCGGCCUUCUGGACUGACACUGACACUGAGGUGCGAAAGCGUGGGUAGCAAACAGGAUUAGAUACCCCAGUAGUC
rnacentral:rRNA from 1 species